GUAGGCAGCGAGCGUUGUUCGGAGUUACUGGGCGUAAAGGGUGUGUAGGCGGUCCUCUAAGUUUGGUGUGAAAUCUCCCGGCUCAACCGGGAGGGUGCGCCGAAAACUGGGGGACUAGAGUGCGGGAUGGGAAAGUGGAAUUCCUGGUGUAGCGGUGAAAUGCGUAGAUAUCAGGAGGAACACCGGUGGUGUAGACGGCUUUCUGGACCGUAACUGACGCUGAGACACGAAAGCGUGGGUAGCAAACAGGAUUAGAUACCCUGGUAGUCCACGCCCUAAACGAUGCAUAUUUGGUGUAGGUCAUUCAGUUGAUCUGUGCCGGAGCUAACGCGUUAAAUAUGCCGCCUGGGGAGUACAGUCGCAAGGCUG
rnacentral:rRNA from 1 species